AGUCAUCAACCCCCUCCGUUUUACUUGCGGAUGGGGGGUUGGAGCUGGGGGCCUGCCGCCGCGAGGCGGCUCCCCUCAAAUGCAUCGGUUGGGCCUGUGGGUCAAACUCGACUGGGCGUUGUAUCAUCCUCGCUCGACAGAGACGUUCCCCUCUCUCGUGCCCUUCCCCGACCUGCCUCUCAGAGCGGCGGUCAAGCACACUUUUGAA
rnacentral:misc_RNA from 1 species